rnacentral:rRNA from 1 species
AGGUAAUGUAUGGGGAUCUGCCUGAUGGCGGGGGAUAACUACUGGAAACGGUAGCUAAUACCGCAUAAUGUCUGCGGACCAAAGCGGGGGACCUCCGGGCCUCGCGCCAUCAGAUGAACCCAUAUGGGAUUAGCUUGUAGGUAAGGUAACGGCUUACCUAGGCGACGAUCCCUAGCUGGUCUGAGAGGAUGAUCAGCCACACUGGGACUGAGACACGGCCCAG